rnacentral:rRNA from 1 species
UACGAAGGGUGCAAACGUUGCUCGGAAUCAUUGGGCGUAAAGCGCACGUAGGCGGCUUCAAAAGUCGGAUGUGAAAUCCCACGGCUCAACCGUGGACGUGCAUCCGAAACUGGGAGGCUUGAGUACUGAAGAGGAUCGCGGAAUUCCCGGUGUAGAGGUGAAAUUCGUAGAUAUCGGGAGGAACACCAGUGGCGAAGGCGGCGAUCUGGGCAGAUACUGACGCUGAGGUGCGAAAGCGUGGGGAGCAAACGGG